UGGGUCUGCUCUCUCACAUGGGGGCGGGGUACUGCUCCUCUAGCAUGGAUAUACUUUCUCAUGUGCAGGGUGGCUUCAGUAUUCUGUUGCAGGUCUGCUUUAUCAUGUGUGAGGGUGGUGAUGCUCUCUCAUAUGGUCAACUUUCUCAUACAGAGGCAUCAUUCCUUGCCUAUUAACAUUUAAUUAAAUUAAUGAUGCACUUUAACUUAGCUGUACCAUUUUAUCAGUUUCUACAGAUUUCAUUUUUCCUUUUGCUUAUUAUUUUCUACUUUCUCUUCUAUUAAUAGAAUAUUUAGAACAAUGAGAAAUAAAUUCAGUUCUGAUAUUGGGAGAUCCAAGAUUAAAAUACACUAGGUAUCAUACCAGAGCCUACAUUCUUAGUCAUAGACAACAUCUUCUUAUGUCCUUAUAUGGUGGAAGAAGUAAGGCAGCUUCCUGAGGCCUCUUUUAUAGGGGUAAUAAUCCCAUUUAUGAGGGUGCAAUCUUCAUGCUCUAAUUACAUUCCUGAAUUCCCCACCUCCUAAUAAUAUUACUUUGUAGAUUUUACCAAAUGAAUUUUGGAAGAAUACAAACAUUUGGUUCCUGGAACCAAAAAAUUCAUGUCAUUAUCUCAUGCAAAGAUAUAUUAAUUACAUUACAGUAGCCUCAUAAUUUUAAAUUGUUCUAGGAUCACUUCAAACCCUAAAGUCCAGAGUCUCAUCUUCAUACCAUCUAAAUCAAGGCAUGAGUGAAACUAAAGAUAUGACUUAUCCUGAAGCAAAUUCUUCUCCAGCUUUGAUUCCUGUGAAAUCAGAAGAGUAAGACAGGUGCAGUGCCACUGAGCUAUACUCCGGCUCCUAUUGACUGUAUUUUUCCCUGUGUGUGUAGACUGUACUACUAAGUUUCCUGUAACUUUUCUUAAAAGCUUCCCUGAAGUCAGCAUCUUUCCUCUGCCAUGCCCUUCCCUCAUGAUGUUUCUGCCUUGGAGCCAGCCAGUCAUGGAAUAAAUUCCCAUAAACUCUGAGCCAAAUGAAAUUCAUCCUUGAAGUGAUGGGUGUCUGGUAUUGUGUCACAGAGAUGAGAAAGCUGAUUAAUGCAGUCACUGUAAAAACGAAAUUUAAAAGCACAAUUAGAGAACAGAAACACCAGAACUAGCAUUGAAGGACGAGGAGCUCCACGGAUAUUCAGUGCAGCUGGGAAAGGAUUUUGGGGAAAGCAUAAGUAGAAGAAAAAGUUACUAAAAAACAAAAGCAUUUCAAGUCUCUGGAAAUUUUCUUAAGGGCAGAGCUCAAAUAAGGGCAUUGGAGAAAUAUUUAGGUUGGAAAAUCUACAAAAUCUCUAGAGAAACUCUGUAGAUCCCUGGGAUUUAAACCGCAAACUGCUCCCUCUACUUGCAGCUAAGCACUAUAAAAGCUGAACUUCAUGCAGGUUUGGCCAAGAAGCCAGAGCUUGCUCUUUCCCCAGCUUCCAGUCAAGGGCCACAAUGUCUCAAUAAGAGGGAUGGGUCACCAGAAUCUCUCAUCUUGGCUAGUCCUGCAUUUAAGGGAAUAAAUUAUAUAUGAAAACAAUUUAGAAGGCAGUCAGGGGCACCCCUCCACAUGGUGCCUAUUCAUAAGGCAGAGAUUCUAAUCCAGGCAUGUGAGAUAAAGAAUAUUGAGAAUCCCAAAAACUUUAGCUCAGCCUUAUUUCUAAAAUUCAGGUUUCACAAAAUAGAGAUAAACCAAGAAGAGGAUAUAACUAUCUUAUAGUACUCUGUUCAUAAAAUCAAACAGUUACCUGAGGAGGAGCCAAUAUUCUUGCCCCAGUUCUGUAUCAGCAGCUCAGAGAUUUGAUCUGUGAUGAAAAUCAAUUCACACAAUAAAGAGGUCUGUAGCUCCCUCCAAAAGGAAAUGUUUUUAUAUGGAACAGAGUACAAAGCUAUGUAGGCUUAAAUGUGCUCUGAAGGAAAUGGAGUUUUCUUGGAAUAAAGAAAUUAAUGAAGGCUGUUAAUUCUAUGUGGGGUACAAUUAUAGACCAUAUAGUUUACUAAAGAGAAACAAAAAAAGAGACCAGAAAACUGGCUUCAAAAAUGUUCUUGUGAAGGGCUCCAAACUUAAUUGGAUCAGACGUUGGAGCAUUAUAUGUUCUGGGACAGUGUUCAAGACAAUGCAGCCGUCAGGUGGAGAGGGGUGGAGACUAAUAAAUUGGAUUGCUCCCAACUAAGGCAGUUUAUUCAAGAGAGAGUCAAAGAGAGCCUUGGUAAAACUAUUGUCAUCUCAGGUUGACUGUAUAUAUGUCUGAGACUCUUUGCUUUUGAAAAGUAACAUGACAGGUUUUACACUGGGGGGAUUCACAUUGCUUAGAUAGCAUAUCCAAGUCACUAAACAUAAAAAUAAAAGAGAAAACAAACUAUGAAAUUUGUAUGAAUUGCUACAAUAUAUUAUCUAAAAUAUCAGAUUUCAAUAAGAAAUUAAGAGACGUGCUUAGAAACUAAAAACUAUGAAUGUAAACAGGAAAGUAAAAGUGAGUAUUGGAAAUUUCCUAUUAAAUGGUUCAGAUGUUAAAUAUCAUAAAAAUCUAAAUCAGCUAUCAUAAAAUGAAAGAAAUAAAAAAUAAAGACAAUUAUAUUUUAUAAAGCAGGAGAAAGUAAGAUGACAAUGAUUGAGAAAAGAAUAUUAAGAAAGUGAUAGAAAAAAUUAAAAAUUAAAAUUAUAAAUGAAAAAUUCGGAGUUGAAAAGUAUAGUAAUCAAAUUGAAGAAUGCACUAGACGGAAUUGAAAACAACGUUUAAACUGGUAGAAGAAAAAAUGGGGAACCUGGGACCCAAGCAUCAUGUGCCCCACCAGACCAUGCCACGUGAACUCUGAGUAGCAUCUUAAUCCACACAGCAGAGGUGCCAGGGGGAACAUAAAGGACAUGGUUAUGAGCUCCAGAAGAUAGAGUAAGAGUGAACAACAGAGAGUGCCUUUUUGACACUCCUCAAUGAAAAUUGAAGCCCACUGGGAAAGUGAAAAAAACCCUCUUCAAUAGCACACUGGACCAUCGUGAUUAGUAAGUUGGUAGGAUCAGCACCUCCCACAGAAACGCAGACUCACAUAGCGGGAAGGACAGCUGGAACCUGAAGUAGAACCUUGCAGAGUUUAAUCCUGCAAGAGGUCAGGGACCUCAACUUGGACCUUGCAGCCAGAAAUCAGCCUGAAUCUCAGUAGACCACAGGUGGCUUGCUGAGACUAAUCGAGUUAGAC
ensembl:lncRNA